rnacentral:tRNA from 1 species
AGCUCUGGGGUGUUACACGCAAGUUUGCAAAUCUUGAGAAGCAGAGUAAAUUCUGCCGGGGCUU